GUGUAGCAAAAUUAGUCAUCAACAUGCGGUUAUUUACAUCCAGCAAACGCAUGUUUAUUAUGUUACGUCCAAGAUAUAUCUAGAAAGGACAUAAACAUAUUUUCCUCACACAAGACUCAAUGGCAUUUUUACUUGGAUACACUAGUCAUUCAUCUUUUUUUGUACUUUUUUGUUCAAUGCUCAUAAUGUCUUCAAAGAAGCAACACAUUUUAGAUGCAAGUUUACAGUAACGUGCAGAAACUUUACUCCUCCACUGGUUCAGCUAUUCUUGCCCAUUUUAUCCCCCUAGAUUUCAUCUGAUAGUCUUUCAAAUCAUUUAAAGAAAAUUAGAAUGGUGUAUGUCUCCCCCUUACUUUUGAGCAUUCUUUAUUUUUCAGAUUGACAAGCACCAGUUUGUUACUUUUUAAUCAUGUGGGACAAUUUCAGCCAGUUUAAUCAUUUCUACAGAUUUUUUAGGAAAAUAUAAUUUCACUGAUUUACAUUGACGCUUAAUGAUGACGCUGAUAUUGCGUA